rnacentral:rRNA from 1 species
AGCGAACGCUGGCGGCAGGCUUAACACAUGCGAGUCGAGCGGGCACUUCGGUGUCAGCGGCAGACGGGUGAGUAACACGUGGGAACGUACCCUUCGGUUCGGAAUAACGCUGGGAAACUAGCGCUAAUACCGGAUACGCCCUUUUGGGGAAAGGUUUACUGCCGAAGGAUCGGCCCGCGUCUGAUUAGCUAGUUGGUGGGGUAAUGGCCUACCAAGGCGACGAUCAGUAGCUGGUCUGAGAGGAUGAUCAGCCACACUGGGACUGAGACACGGCCCAGACUCCUACGGGAGGCAGCAGUGGGGAAUAUUGGACAAUGGGCGCAAGCCUGAUCCAGCCAUGCCGCGUGAGUGAUGAAGGCCUUAGGGUUGUAAAGCUCUUUUGUCCGGGACGAUAAUGACGGUACCGGAAGAAUAAGCCCCGGCUAACUUCGUG